rnacentral:ncRNA from 1 species
AAAAUGCUGCCACCGGGUAGUUGUAAUGCAUAAAGCAUUCGUUUACAUAUCGUUAGGUCUUUGAAGAUAUGUAUGGCGGAUGCUUCUUU